rnacentral:rRNA from 1 species
GUGAGGAAUAUUGGUCAAUGGGCGGAAGCCUGAACCAGCCAAGUAGCGUGCAGGACGACGGCCCUAUGGGUUGUAAACUGCUUUUAUACGGGGAUAAAGUGCGCCACGUGUGGAGCAUUGCAGGUACCGUAUGAAUAAGGACCGGCUAAUUCCGUGCCAGCAGCCGCGGUAAUACGGAAGGUCCGGGCGUUAUCCGGAUUUAUUGGGUUUAAAGGGAGCGCAGGCCGGAAGCAAAGCGUGCCGUGAAAUGUAGAUGCUCAACAUCUGAAUUGCGGCGCGAACUGGUUUUCUUGAGUGCAUACGAGGUAGGCGGAAUUUGUGGUGUAGCGGUGAAAUGCUUAGAUAUCACGAAGAACUCCGAUUGCGAAGGCAGCCUACCAGGAUGUAACUGACGCUAAAGCUCGAAAGUGCGGGUAUCGAACAGGAUUAGAAAUCCGAGUAGUCC